CUCCUGCAUCUCCCAUUUCUGUAGGCUAGAAGAUGCUACUGUCUCUACUGCUACAAAUUGAAUUGCAGAAGGACAUCAGAACCUCAGUAUUUAGUUACUAUUGGAAUGGUUCAUGCUAAUAAAAUCUUCUUCCAGACAAGAGGAACAAGACUUGUUGGAACAAGACCUGUGAGGCUUCUGAACCAGCCGUGCCACCGCAUGAACACAGAGAGAAGAAGUCAAGUGUUUGUUCUGUACUGCUGAAGCCCCCAUUGGCGUUCAAGGAAGACCAAUCGACAAACCCCAAGUACAUCCCACAUGAGAUCCUGUCACACCUUUAAAUUGCACUGUAAAAACAACCUUAGCCUCUUAGUGCCCCAGUUACAGACACAGUAGCUUUUCUGUAUAGGUAAGUCGAAUAGUACAGAGUAGCCGACUUUAACACAAAUGUUCACUGCAAAAGCAAACUGCAUCAAUCACUCCUGGCAGAACUUUUAACCUCUGUUAGCACACAGUUUAAUCAUUGACUUUUCCAGUUUCAGAUUUAAUUUGGAAGCAUGCCAUAUCAGGGAGCAGAGCUGAA